UUGGUUUUCGGCCUUGUCUCUUAUAGGAAGUGAUUUCUCCAGACUCCCUGAACCUUUUGAUGAUAUUAUGGACCGUAGAUGCCGAAAUCCCUCAAUUCCUUGCAAUUGUACGUAGAGGAACAUUGUCCUUAAACUGUUCGACUACUUUCUCACACACUUGUUCACAAAGAGGUGAACCUCGCCAGAUCUUUGCUUGUGAAUGACUGAGCAAUUGAGAGAAGCAAUCGCGGCACCCACCUGUUCCCAACGAGCCCGUUCACCUGCGGGAUGUUCCAAACACGUGUUCGAUGAGCAUUCCUCAACUUUCGCAGUCUUUUUUGCCACCUGUCCCAUCUUUUUUGGAACGAGUUGCCGCCAUAACAUAAUCAUAACAGUUUAUGAUUAUUUGCUCAAAACAAUAAGGUUUAUCGGUUUGAACAUUAAAUAUCUUGUCUUUGGAGUGUAUUCAAUGAACUAUAGGUUGAACAUGAUUUGCAAAUCAUUGUAUUCUCUUUUUAUUUAUGUUUAACACAACGUCCCAACGUCAUUGGUAUUGGGGUUGUAAAUCUUUGCAUCAGAUAUGAAGUUAAACCUUGUCUGAUAUUGCCUCUUGUAAGUGCACGCCAGCAUACAUUUUAAGGUCUUGGACUGUUCUCCUAUGUAAAAAAAAUCAAAAUCAAAAUCAAAUCACUGUACGAUUCUUUAAAUAAGAAUACAGCAGGUAGUAAAGGCAAGUUUGAGAGACUAUACACUGAAGUGGGAACUCCCUGUCUGCUGCUUCUCUUUGCCUGAGGCUGAACGCUUGAUAGACAUCAAAUGAUUUGCGACUUGCCGCACUCGUUUCGGAAUGAACUGGUUCGACAAAGAUCAACUCUGCUAAUUGCUUUGCUCUAGUUAAAAACAAAGACACGUUAGUCGCACCCCUUGUCAUGUUUCGAUUUCGCGCGUAGGUUUGUCAGCUACUUGGAGAUGUGUUGGGCUUAUUUGUGCCUACAGUUGACGCCACAUCUGGAUGUGUGUAUUAUUCCGUAGGUCAACGGUCUUCUAGCCUCCGCAUCCGCUGUGUGUGCAUGUCGGAGUCAGCGCUGCAGGUGAACGCCACAGGCUAUCCUAAUUGCAGGCUGCCGGAGGAAACAACACAAAGAGCUGUAAGAGGAAUUCAGUGUGUGUCAAAAAGCAUCUGGUAACGCUUCCUGUAAUUGCCGCUCCGAAACGCUGAAGAUCUGAGCGCAGAAAGAAAUGACGUGUUUUUCCAUCGUCCUUCUGCUUCUGCUGCUGCUGCUGCUGCUUCGCUUCCUGUUGAAACGUCGCUGGAGCUUUGGCACAGUGAGGGAAUGCUUCUGAGAAUGACAAGAAAAACCACAGUGCAAACUUUUAAGGCUGUGAUCAUUUGUUACGGGAGUCUGAUGACUUUGGCAUAUUGAAUUUCAAAUAAAAAAAAAGAAAAAAAAACCCAUAAAAAAAUGUAUAUAGUUGAUUCCAAGGGACUCUUGCCAUCAUAAAACCUUUACUAACUGAAUCAGUACAGAAACUAAAUCAUAGCAAACGUAAUUGUCAUAAAGGUGUAACAUGACUAAGUGCUGUCAAACUAAAAUAUAGAAACAAGAAAAUGCUCUCAGCCUCACUUUUGAUGACAAAUUAUGAAUAUAAUAUGAGUAUUUUUGCCAAAAAGAUGAAACACAGCAGACUUCUUUGAUGAUUAUUGUCACCUUGGGCUGUGUUGACACGUCACAUUUGAAAUCACACACUGACAUUUUGACAAUAAAGAUAUCCAGCAAAGGGACGAUGAUUUCCGCAACUUUGCCAGUCUUUAAUGUGAUCGAUUUAUGACGCCCCUUUUACUUUCUGCAGUUAUUUUUAAGUCGGUCUGCGCCCGCGUUGUCCGUGUAGCGUUCACAUUUGCGCUGAAAUAAAACAAAGUUCACGAGCUCUUCAAAUGGUUUCAUUUCAGUUGUGCAAGAAAUGAAGUACUGUACCUUUCCUGGUAUUCAGAUGCUGUAUUGACAUUACUGACAGUUGAAUAACAAAGCAGUUUUUCACAAGGUGGGAAACACAUUUCCAAUAUGUCUCUUGUAUAUGAUGCCAGAGCCAUUCAACUCUCUUUAACGCAAAUCGCUGCCGUGUGAAAGGAACCAUUGCUGAGCAUUUAGGCGACUGUGAAACUUGAUGACUUAGCUUCAUGAAUCGUGGGAGAUCUUCACCUGAUUAUAAUGAUAGACCCGUAGAGGGCACGCCACCAUUUUCCGACUAAGGACCACGAUCUCAGAUUUAAGGUUCUAAUUGGCCCACGUGAGCAUUGAAGUCCCUCAGCAGAACGAUGGAUUCCCCAGCGGGAGCGCUCUCCAGCCCCCCCUGCAAGGACUCCAAAAAGGGUGGGUACUCUGAUCUGAUGUUUGGUGCAUAGCC